AUACGGAGGAUGCGAGCGUUAUCCGGAUUUAUUGGGUUUAAAGGGUGCGCAGGCGGGCGAUUAAGUCAGCGGUGAAAGGCUCGGGCUCAACCGGAGCAGUGCCGUUGAUACUGGUUGUCUUGAAUGCGGUCAAGGCCGGCGGAAUGUGGCGUGUAGCGGUGAAAUGCAUAGAUAUGCCACAGAACACCGAUAGCGAAGGCAGCUGGCCGGGCCUGCAGUGACGCUGAGGCACGAAAGCGUGGGGAUCGAACAGGAUUAGAUACCCUGGUAGUCCACGCUGUAAACGAUGGACACUCGUUGUCGGCGACAGACAGUCGGCGGCCAAGCGAAAGUGAUAAGUGUCCCACCUGGGGAGUACGGUCGCAAGGCUGAAACUCAAAUGAAUUGACGGGG
rnacentral:rRNA from 1 species